rnacentral:misc_RNA from 1 species
UCUCAGUGCCACUUGGACCGUCAGAGAGGGAGGACGCACGCCGCUCACCUCCCGGCCAGCAGUGGUAGAGGCAAUGGUGGUCAGGUCUGGCUUCCCAUCAGCCCCCAGCCGCCUCUAGAGUGCUGAGGGUCGCUACUGAGGUGCUGCAGGUGUGGUGAAGUGAAUGGUGAUGAAGGGGAAGUGAGACAAUGAUAUUCUUAACAGGGCGGAAGUGAGAGUGAGUGGUGAGCGGUGAGGGGAAGUGUGAGGCAGUGGACAGUGACGGAUGGUGAAGGUGGUUGAUAGUGACUGGAAACAUAUAAACACAACACUUAUAAAAGAAAGAAAGAAAGAAAAAAAAAAUAGUGAAAAUGAAGAAAAUAAAGAAACACUGACGAAGCAAAGAAAACAGGAAAAGAUGGUUGACUUCAUCCUCAACCUAAAUCAAGAAAUAGGACUUCACCUUCCGCCAUCUUACGACACCCAAUCACAGGUGAGUGGCGAGCAGUGUUGCCAACUGUGGCGUCACAACAAACAAAACGUGAGACAUGCUUCACUACCCCUGCUGGCAACACUUACUGCUGCUCCGAGGAGAAGGAAGGAAGGAAGGAAGGAAGGAAGGAAGGAAGGAAGGAAAUAUUAAUG